GAUAAACGCUGGCGGCGUGCCUAACACAUGCAAGUCGAACGCGCUUUCUCGCAUGCUUCGUUAAGAAGCGAGCAAGAGAGCGAGUGGCGGACGGGUGAGUAACACAUGGGUCACCUACCUUUCAGUGAGGAAUACCGACGAGAAAUCGUCGACAAGACCGCAUAUGCUCUUUGCAAAGAGAGCAAAGUCCUUUCGCAAGAAGGGACGCUGGAAGAUGGGGCCGUGGCCGAUUAGCUAGUUGGUAGGGUAAUGGCCUACCAAGCGACGAUCGGUAGCUGGUCUGAGAGGACGAUCAGCCACACUGGGAUUGAGAACGGCCCAGACUCCUACGGGAGGCAGCAGU
rnacentral:rRNA from 1 species